rnacentral:lncRNA from 1 species
CUUGUUUUUUCCUUCUUGGUGUUUCAGGACAAUUCCUGGUUUUUUUAUAAUCUCAUGGGAUUAUAAAACAGAAUAUAGAAUGGAAAAAUUCUACUGGGCAGUAUUUUUAUUUAUUUCUGCUGUAGCUUUGCUAAAUCUGUAGCUUUAUGUAUGGAUGGAUUCUUGGUUUUUCUACAGAUCUCUCGGCCUCAAUCUGGCAGUUCUUAUGGCCAGGUCUUCCAGCCACAAGGAGGUACUUCCUAUGGCCAGAGUGGGCCAACCUAUACCAUCAGCAGUGGUUCUUAUGGACAGGGCUCCCAAGGCAGCCAGUCCUAUGGUCAGGUCUAUCAGCCUCAAGGUGGUACUUCAUAUGGCCAGCAAGGUGGAUCUUCUUCAUCAGGGGGCAGUGGAGGUUGUGGACAAGGUACUUCAUAUGAUAGCAAUCCCUGCCACCAGGAUGGAUCUCAGAGUGGUAGCCAGAGUGGAUCAUACACCUCACAAAGCUAUGGUGGAAGCCAACAGGGUGGAUCAUCAUCCUCACAAAAUUAUGGUGGCAGCCAGGUAGGAAGAAAUUUAUUUUUCUCCUGUAAAAAAUUGUUACCCUCUCUGAUAAGCAUUUUUCACCAGGUUUGUUCUGCAUUCUUAGGUGGCUAUUCUGUACCAUGCUUGAUUAAGAUGCUGGUAUUACAGUUACUGUCAUCUAGAAAGUUGUAACUGUUCAAAAUAAUCUCCAGCAAUUGUUUAAUAUAGCUUUACAAUCCCCUAAUGAAAUCACAGUUGCUUCUGACAUUGGUUUUGCAUUUGUUAUUUUAAAGGGAGGAUCACAAAGCUAUGGUAGCGGCCAAGUAAGUAGGGCUUUAUUUUACCAAUUAAAAAUUACUUCCUACAAGCUUUAGCCUCUGCUCAAAAUCAGGUUUUCUGUAUCCUAAUAUUCUCUGAUCUUGAUUGGCUGAUUUGUUUUAAAGGGUGGAUCAUAUUCACAAAACUACGGUGGUGGCCAAGUAAGUAGUGUUUUAUUUCACCAGUUACACAUUACUUCCCACAAGCUUUAGCUUCUGCUAAAAAUCAGAUUUUCUGUAUCCUAAUAUUCUCUGGUGCUGAUUGGCUGGUUUAUUUUAAAGGGUGGAUCAUAUUCACAAAACUACGGUGGUGGCCAAGUAAGUAGGGCUUUAUUUUACCAAUUAAAAAUUACUUCCUACAAGCUUUAGCUUCUGCUAAAAAUCUGGUUUUCUGUAUCAUAAUAUUAUCUGAUGUUUGUUGCUUUGUUUGUUUUAAAGGGUGGAUCAUCCUCACAAAACUAUGGUGGUGCCAAGUAAGUAACAACUUAAUUUCACCAAUUACACAUCAAUUC